rnacentral:rRNA from 1 species
CCUACGGGAGGCUGCCGUGGGGAAUAUUGGGCAAUGGGCGAAAGCCUGACCCAGCAACGCCGCGUGAGGGAAGAAGGUCUUCGGAUUGUAAAGCUCUGUCAACAGGGACGAUAAUGACGGUACCUGUGGAGGAAGCCACGGCAAACUACGUGCCAGCAGCCGCGGUAAUACGUAGGUGGCAAGCGUUGUCCGGAAUAACUGGGCGUAAAGCGCAUGUAGACGGCAUAGCAAGCCAAGUGUGAAAUUUAGGGGCUUAACCUCUAAACUGCGCUUGGAACUGCUGAGCUUGAGUGCAGGAGAGGCAAGUGGAAUUCCCAGUGUAGCAGUGAAAUGCGUAGAUAUUGGGAGGAACACCAGUGGCGAAGGCGACUUGCUGGACUGCAACUGACGUUGAGAUACGAAAGCUAGGGGAGCAAACG